GAAGAUGAAGGCGAUGAUGCGUUUCUUCUCUGAAGGCGACAAGGUGAAGGUCACGCUCCGGUUCCGGGGCCGUGAAAUGGCUCACCAGGAUCUUGGCAUGAAGCUGCUGAUGCAGGUGCGCGACGAGACGGCGGAAAUCGCCAAGGUCGAGUCCGCGCCCCGCCUCGAAGGCCGCCAGAUGGUGAUGGUUCUGUCGCCGAUCCAGCGCUGAGCCUUUUCCGGAAAAAGAUUCGUGCGGCGGCUGCGGAGCAAUCCGUGGCCGCCCUGCUUUUGUGAUGCAGGUGAUCCUGUGCCCGCAUGAAUCCGGUUGCAA
rnacentral:misc_RNA from 1 species